rnacentral:rRNA from 1 species
CAGUCGCCGCGGGAAUACGUAGGGUGCAAGCGUUAAUCGGAAUUACUGGGCGUAAAGGGCGUGUAGGCGGCCUGGGGCGUCCCAUGUGAAAGGCCACGGCUCAACCGUGGAGGAGCGUGGGAUACGCUCAGGCUAGAGGGUGGGAGAGGGUGGUGGAAUUCACGGAGUAGCGGUGAAAUGCGCAGAUACCGGGAGGAACGCCGAUGGCGAAGGCAGCCACCUGGUCCACUUCUGACGCUGAGGCGCGAAAGCGUGGGGAGCAAACCGGAUUAGAUACCCCUGUAGUCCCUGUCUCUUAUAC